rnacentral:lncRNA from 1 species
AGAAUACAUUUGAAUUUUUUUCCCUUUUUAAAAAACUUAUAAGUUCAUAGGUACAUGUGCAGGAUGUGCAGGUUUGUUACAUAGGUAAAUGUGUGUCAUGGGGGUUUGUUACACAGAUUAUUUCAUCACCCAAAAUACACUUUAACAAUAGACAAUAAUUAUUUCCCUUAUUGAGAUUGGCAGCCACCAGGGAAAGGGAAAUUUUGGUAGUUACAAUUGGGAAGAUGAAGGAUAGAGAGGUAUAUUUUGAGAAAAAAGUGUAGAUGGGGUAGCAGUUUGGAUUAUUGUGGUGUCACAUGAGGACUCUUAUCCCAGGGGGGUUGGAUAAACUAGGUAGGGGUAAAUGCUUUUUGAUUACUUUUGCAUACCUGUCUUUGGUUCUAUUGCUUGUUUUGCCAUGAAAGUAAUUUAAAAUUCUAGAUUAGCGAUGCCUAAGUUCGAGUAUUAGGUCUGAUUUGGAGGGAUCAAAUUUUAUUAUCAGUGUUUACUUAGCAGUUUCACUUUGUCUAGCCCAGGACUUCCUUAAUGUUUCUCUCCUUUCCAUUCUUCCUUCAGAGUCACGGAGAAGAGGAGACAGCGUGUGCAAGGGAAUGAAGAAAAGGACCAAGACUAUUUUCAAAUCACCCAUGGCACUACUAGAAAAGUAUUUCAGCAAAAAGACUGACUGAUUUUAUGAUUCCUGUGUCCACCACAUCCCUCUAAUUUUUACAUACGUACCCCACAUCUCUCCAGAUUUCAGGAAGACUAUUAUUCUUUGACUUUAGCUUUCUGAUGGGUUCACAAAAAGCUGUUAGUGUGCUGUUGGUCCAGCUUUUUUCUUGUUGGAAAUAUGAGAGCUACAGUUCUGAGAUGAAACCACAGUGGAGACAAUGUAUUCACAGGUUUCAGAGUGUGGCUACUUGCUGUGAAAGCUGAGAAUGAAGCACUGCAUUAGCGAGUCCUGAAGAUCCUUUCCAGCUCUUUGAUUAUUUGACAUUCUGACUGGCACAAAGAGGCACACCUGCAAUCCUACUGAGCUUUCCAUGGAUCAUUAAUGAUUUUUCAUAGUGAAGGAAGCAGAGGUAAUGUAGACUCUGAAAGCUGAUACUUCUCACUGUAGAUGUAUACUCUUGUGUUACAGUGUUUUUGUAUGUGAGAAUUUCCACCUACCAACCCUUGAAGGUCUCUGAGCACAAGGGAUUGACUGAGUGCACUUUAAGUUAAAAUACCUCGUGCAAACCCAGCAUGGUGUACCUGCAGUGAGGAGACUGUUAUGGAUGCUCAUUUCAUAUCUUUUACAGCUUAUGCUCUGCAUAUGCUGUUUAAGCCUUGUCUCUCU